CAGCCGCCGCGGGAAUACGAAGGGUGCAAGCGUUACUCGGAAUUACUGGGCGUAAAGCGUGCGUAGGUGGUGGUUUAAGUCCGUUGUGAAAGCCCUGGGCUCAACCUGGGAAUUGCAGUGGAUACUGGGUCACUAGAGUGUGGUAGAGGAUAGUGGAAUUUCCGGUGUAGCAGUGAAAUGCGUAGAGAUCGGAAGGAACAUCUGUGGCGAAGGCGACUAUCUGGGCCAACACUGACACUGAGGCACGAAAGCGUGGGGAGCAAACAGGAUUAGAUACCCGAGUAGUCCCUGUCUCUAUACC
rnacentral:rRNA from 1 species